rnacentral:lncRNA from 1 species
GGGAACCACUGCAUCCCCUGGGAGUGGUGACAAUCAAUCAGUCAACCAAUGGGAUUGACAUCAGACCAUUCUGCAUGGUCAUUAUCUAGGUUGUCUCCGCUACCCAGAGGCAUUUUCACACGAAACCUGUGUGGGGAGGUAAUGUUUUGAAGUGCACCCCAAAGAGCAAGAUCUUUCUAAGUAGAACUUGGAUUCUGAAGGCUCUUCUGGCGGCCGGGUGUUAUGGGCUUUGAGGGCUUGGCCUGGGAGUCAAUUAUUAGUCAUUUCCCUGUUAUCUUCUGCAAUCAGGAUGUCACUCGUUCUCUCUGUUGUCAUGUAUUUUCCAGAAUCUUGCUUUGGAAACCUAGGAUCUUGCUUCAGGAGUCUGAGGGCAAUUUUGUUCUUUACCACCUUGGCUGGAAUAAUCCCAUGGUGGCCACACAACAGGGUGCACCCUGCCAAUGAGCCAGAUGAAGCAACCCUCGAUGAUGUUGUGGAGGCCGGCGGGAGUGAGAAGACGGAGGAAGAGGCCCUGGCUGGGGCAAAUGAGGAGGAGGUGGGGCCGGGAACUGAGAAGGUGCAGGAGGAGGCUGCCUGCAUUGACGAGGCAGAGGAGGAGGCAGGCCCAUCCCUUGAAAAUGACGAGGAGUCCCCAGCCAGCGACCUGGUUGAGCAGGAAGACCAGCUUGCCCCCAAGGUAAGCUCACCUUUCUUGAUCGGAGAUUUAAAAAGGUGCCUCCUUUCUUCUUGGAUGUGCCUACUUCAGAAAAGGAAAUCUGAGCAAGUCCAUUAUAGAGGAUAUAUGCACAUUCCUCUGUGGAGGAAUGUUGAGUCAAAGUUUGGUACCAACCAAUAACUCCUUCCAAGGGGCAUUGGCAAAAGGGACCACAUCAGUUCCCAAGUGUACAUAGGGAGCAUUUGUCUUUGAAGAAGCCUGAAUGUUUUGUUUUGUUUGGUUUUGUUGUCUUUUUGCCUUUUCUGGGGCCACUCCUGUGGCAUAUGGAGGUUCCCAGGCUCAGGGUCAAACCAGAGCUGUAGCCACCGGCCUGCGCCAGAGCCACAGCAACGCGGGAUCCGAGCAACGUCUGCAACCUACACCUCAGCUCACGGCAAUGCCGGAUCCUUAACCCACUGAGCAAGGCCAGGGAUCGAACCCGCAACCUCAUGGUUCCUGGUCGGAUUCGUUAACCACUGCGCCACGACGGGAACUCCAAAG